UACGUAGGGGGCAGGCGUUGUCCGGAUUUAUUGGGCGUAAAGAGCGUGUAGGCGGCCUGAAAGGUCAGCUGUGAAAACUCGAGGCUCAACCUCGAGACGUCGGUUGAAACCAUCUGGCUAGAGUCCGGAAGAGGAGUGUGGAAUUCCCGGUGUAGCGGUGAAAUGCGCAGAUAUCGGGAAGAACACCCGUGGCGAAGGCGGCGACCUGGUCCGAUACUGACGCUGAGGCGCGAAAGCGUGGGGAGCAAACAGG
rnacentral:rRNA from 1 species